UACGGAGGGGGCCAGCGUUGUUCGGAUUUACUGGGCGUAAAGGGCGCGUAGGCGGCGCGGUAAGUCACUUGUGAAAUCUCUGAGCUUAACUCAGAACGGCCAAGUGAUACUGCAGUGCUAGAGUGUGGAAGGGGCAAUCGGAAUUCUUGGCGUAGCGGUGAAAUGCGUAGAUAUCAAGAGGAACACCUGAGGUGAAGACGGGUUGCUGGGCCAACACUGACGCUGAGGCGCGAAAGCCAGGGGAGCAAACGGG
rnacentral:rRNA from 1 species